UUUUGCACACUACGGGAAUAUUCAAUUAGUGUUUGUGCAGACGCUCGUCUCCUUUUUUUUUUUUUUUCUUUACAGUCUGCAAUAGCUAUCUCAGGUAACCGGAGUUGACUCUCAAUGCGAUUCCUGUGGGUUGACUGCUGUAAGCCUUAUUCACGCAAGGGAAGACUCUGGAAGCAAUAUGGAAUUAAGGCACGUUCCCAGUGGAUACACAGUAAAAAAGACACUGCAAAGCAGACAGUCCCUGGCCAGAGCCUCUCAAGGAACUGUUGA
rnacentral:lncRNA from 1 species